ACACUAACUGGAGGACCGAACCGACUAAUGUUGAAAAAUUAGCGGAUGACCUGUGGCUGGGGGUGAAAGGCCAAUCAAACCGGGAGAUAGCUGGUUCUCCCCGAAAGCUAUUUAGGUAGCGCCUCGUGAAUUCAUCUUCGGGGGUAGAGCACUGUUUCGGCUAGGGGGCCAUCCCGGCUUACCAACCCGAUGCAAACUACGAAUACCGAAGAAUGUUAUCACGGGAGACACACGGCGGGUGCUAACGUCCGUCGUGAAGAG
rnacentral:rRNA from 1 species